GAUGAAGAACUCAGCGAAAUGCGAUACGUAGUGUGAAUUGCAGAAUUCAGUGAAUCAUCGAAUCUUUGAACGCACAUUGCGCCCUUUGGUAUUCCAAAGGGCAUGCCUGUUCGAGCGUCAUUUGUACCCUCAAGCUUUGCUUGGUGUUGGGCGUCUUGUCUCCAGUCCGCUGGAGACUCGCCUUAAAGUCAUUGGCAGCCGGCCUACUGGUUUCGGAGCGCAGCACAAGUCGCACUCUUUUCCAGCCAAGGUCAGCGUCCAACAAGCCUUUUUUCAACUUUUGACCUCGGAUCAGGUAGGGAUACCCGCUGAACUUAAGCAUAUCAAUAAGCGGAGGA
rnacentral:misc_RNA from 1 species